rnacentral:rRNA from 1 species
UUGUUGAACUGUGGUUCUGAGUAUGGUAGAGGUCAGGCGGAAUUUCCCGGUGUAGCGGUGGGAAAUGCGUAGAGAUCGGAAAGAACACCAGAGGCGAAGGCGGCUGACUGGAUCAAUACUGACGCUGAGGCUCGAAAGCGUGGGGAGCAAACAGGAUUUAGAUACCCUUGGUAGUCCACGCUGUAAACGAUGAACACUAGAUGUCGGGAGAGGUUUCUUCCGGUGUCGUCGCUAACGCAGUAAGUGUUCCGCCUGGGGAGUACGCUCGCAAGGGUGAAACUCAAAGGAAUUGACGGGGGCCCGCACAAGCGGUGGAGCAUGUGGUUUAAUUCGAUGCAACGCGAAGAACCUUACCUGGGCUUGACAUGGGAAUGACCGCUCGAGAGAUCGAGUUUUCUCUUCGGAGACAUUCCGCACAGGUGCUGCAUGGCUGUCGUCAGCUCGUGUUGUGAGAUGUUCGGUUAAGUCCGGCAACGAGCGCAAC